AUGAAGAUAAGUCUUAAUAAUGGGAUUUAUUGUGUAUACGAAUUUAAAGAAGCCCACAACCAUAGUCUUGCUACUGGAAAUAUGUCGCAAUACUUAAGAUCACACAGGAAAGUAACUGAAGCUCAACUUGCCAAUGCCGAGGUCGCAAAGUCAGUGGGCAUUUCAAAUAAAGCAACUAUUGAUCUAAUGACGAAAGAGGCACGUGGACCUGAAAACCUUGGCUUUAUAAGCACAGACAUGAAAAAUCGUUUGUACUCAAAGAGAACACUAAAAGCAAAGAUGGGUGACACAGGUGGAGUGUUAGAAUAUAUGGAGAAGAAGGUUUCAGAAGAUGUCAAAUAUUUUUAUUCAAUUCAAGUUGAUGAGGAUGAUUUGAUAACUAAUAUAUUUUGGACGGACUCCAAAAUAGUCUCAGACUAUGCAUUAUUUGGUGAUGUCAUAUGCUUUGACACCACAUAUAGGAAACUAGACGAUGGGCGUCCGUUUGGUUUAAUUGUUGGUGUGAAUAAUCACAAGAAAACUAUUGUGUUUGGUGCUGCACUUCUCUAUGAUGAAACAGCAGAAAGUUUUGCUUGGCUUUUUAGAACAUCUUUAACAGUAAUGUCUGGAAAGCAUCCACAUACAAUUCUGACUGACGAAGAUGCAGCAAUGGCUAAGGCAAUCCGUUCAGUCCUGCUUCACUCUCACCAUAGACUUUGUGUGUGGCAUAUGAAUCAAAAUGCUAUCAAACAUCUUGAUGGAGUUGUUACAGAUUACAAGAAGUUCAAUGCUGAUUUUCAGCAUUGUAUCUAUGAUAUUGAGGAGGAAGAUGAAUUUAUAAGUGCAUGGAAUGAAAUGCUUGACAAUACCCAAACGAGUGAAAGCAUGAACAAUGAACUAAAACGUUACAUUAGUUCUAAGUAUGACAUGCUUACUUUUUUUGAGCAUUUCGAACGUCUAGUUGCAGAUAAAAGAUUUGAAGAGGUGAGAUGUGACUUCAAAGCAACCCAAAGUACUCCUAAGCUGAAGGCAGAAAGCUAUAUGUUAAGGCAAGCAUCAACUACAUAUACUCCACCAAUAUUCAAGAUGUUUCGGGAACAAGUGCUUCGGACCUUAAACUAUGAUACAUUCCUUUGUGAUGACAGUGACACCAAGGAGAAGGUUUACAAAGUAAAAUUUCAUGGUACAGAGCGUGAUCAUGUUGUUAAAUUUUUUCCAAAAGAAGAAAAGGUCAAUUGCAGUUGUAAGAAGUUUGAAUUUGCUGGAAUUCUUUGCUCUCAUUCGUUA
rnacentral:rRNA from 1 species